rnacentral:rRNA from 1 species
GCAGUCGCCGCGGUAAUACAGAGGGUGCGAGCGUUAAUCGGAUUUACUGGGCGUAAAGCGUGCGUAGGCGGCUUCUUAAGUCGGAUGUGAAAUCCCUGAGCUUAACUUAGGAAUUGCAUUCGAUACUGGGAAGCUAGAGUAUGGGAGAGGAUGGUAGAAUUCCAGGUGUAGCGGUGAAAUGCGUAGAGAUCUGGAGGAAUACCGAUGGCGAAGGCAGCCAUCUGGCCUAAUACUGACGCUGAGGUACGAAAGCAUGGGGAGCAAACAGGAUUAGAUACCCGGGUAGUCCCUGUCUCUUAUAA